UUCAGUUCUGAUGUCUGCUUGACUAUGAUGUGACCAAGGAUUUGUAGUUAGAAACUGUCCUGUCUUCUGACUAAGAAAUGUCCAAUGCUGUCUCGUGGACCGACAACUUUGCUUGGAGGUGUGCUGAAUUGCAUCUGUGGUUUUCACACUCCAAAGUUUACCAAGCCAAGAUUUACUAGCUCAUACAUAGCUGCAGCAAAGCCAAAUCUUAGUUUGGCCAGGAGACCUUCUCAGGUUGAAGACCAGCCCAGCGCAGCAGUGUCUUGUGCCUCUAGACCAAGCACUACAGUCUCUACACCUGAUCCUACAGUUCCAACCCCUGUCCCCAGAGCCACUGCAGAUGUGUCCAGUCCCGCUCAGUCAUGCAGGAUUGUCUCGAUUUCCUAUUCGGCUUACAUGCCCUGAAGUAGUUUCUUAAAAAUGUAAGCUGAAAAAUGGUCAAUGUCUACGGAGUUUACUUAAAA